rnacentral:rRNA from 1 species
GACGAACGCUGGCGGCGUGCUUAACACAUGCAAGUCGAACGAUGAAGCCGGAGCUUGCUCCGGUGGAUUAGUGGCGAACGGGUGAGUAACACGUGAGCAAUCUGCCCUUGACUCUGGGAUAACUGCGGGAAACUGUAGCUAAUACCGGAUACGACACCUUGGGGCAUCCCAGGGUGUGGAAAGAAUUUCGGUCAAGGAUGAGCUCGCGGCCUAUCAGCUAGUUGGUGAGGUAAUGGCGCACCAAGGCGACGACGGCUAGCCGGCCUGAGAGGGGGACCGGCCACACUGUAACUGAGACACGGUCCAGACUCCUACGGGAAGCAGCAGAGGGGAAUAUUGCACAAUGGGCGAAAGCCUGAUGCAGCAACGCCGCGUGAGGGAUGAAGGACUUAGGGUUGUAAACCUCUUUUAGCAGGGAAGAAGCGAAAGUGACGGUACCUGCAGAAAAAGCACCGGCUAACUACGUGCCAGCCGCCGCCGUAA